UACAGAGGGUGCGAGCGUUGUUCGGAAUUACUGGGCGUAAAGCGCGCGCAGGCGGCCUUUUAAGUCUGACGGUGAAAUGCCGGGGCCCAACCCCGUGCCCGCCGGAGAUACUGGGAGGCUGGAGACGAGUUGAGGCAAGCGGAAUUCCGGGUGUAGCGGUGGAAUGCGUAGAGAUCCGGAAGAACACCGGAGGCGAAGGCGGCUUGCUGGCUCAUGUCUGACGCUGAGGCGCGAAAGCGUGGGGAGCGAACAGG
rnacentral:rRNA from 1 species